rnacentral:lncRNA from 1 species
AGACUCCGCAGAGCGCCUCCCGGAGCCGGCGGGUGGGAGCCCGAGUCUCCAGCUCUCCGGGCUCGCGUGGCUCCUCGCUGGGAAAAGAGGGGGUCCCCUGCGGGCACAGGGCCGUCGCCGGAGGGGGUCCGCUGCGGCGCGGGGCUGCUGGGCGGCUGCCCCAACACGUCCGGAGGCCCCGCGAGAUUCCAGCCGUCGCAGCCCCUGGAGCCACCGGAGCGGAGGCAAGGCCGCCCCGGGGCCGGGAGCCUCGAACCGAGCGGCGCCGCCCGACGGUGUUCGGGGUCCCCCUUCGUGAGCGGCAUUCCUGACGCCGGUGACUGAACCCCGACCGGACUCAGUGGCGCGACGGGCCACCUCGCAGGAAGGCGGCCGGACAAGGUAAGGCCCGGGGCCAACCCCCGUCGGGUCCUGCCGGGCGGGCGGGCGGAAGAGGGCACCGAUCACCGCCGCUCCCGUGGGCAGCUGUGCCUGAGCGAGCAGCAGCCCCCGUGCUCCGGAUGGGAAGCAGAGGAACCGCUUGCUCGGGUGGAGCCCCGCAGGUGGAGCCCACUGAAGGCGCUGCUUGCGCGGCUCCCGGCGAGGGGCUCCCAGGGAGCAGGGGCGCGAUAACCUCGGAGUGUGUGUGAGGCCGAAGGGCGGCCUGAUUCGCUUGCGCGUCAGGGUCCCGUUUGUGGCUCCACGUCUCAGGGGCUGCGGAGUCCGAGGGGGUCCUGCCCUGCACUUCCGUGGUGACCUCAUUCGGCUUCUGGCUGAAGCGGACACUGGCUGGCGGUUCUCUUCCCGCCCUGCGAGUCCAGUCCGUGUUCGGGCUGAUACGAACCAGCCAGGGGCUGAGAGGCACCUAAACUCCCGAGAGGGGGCGGGCAGGCGGACAUCUGAAUGGCCACCUUCUGAGAAGGGGGCGUCCUCCCUUGUUUUGUCGGGACACCGGCACGGGGCGGCCACAUGGGGUGGGACCUAACCCCGAAGCCCACGCGCCAGAGACCGCUUGCUCCCGCCAUUUGGGCCAUUAAUUCCUCCGGGGAGAUCGUCUAACCUGACCUCGCCCCUGGGCCUCCAGGAACUCCCGGCCCAGAUUCUAAACCAGCCGUAGGACUGCCCAUUUUGUCAGUUCACGGAGGCCCAGGAUCUGAGUCAGGGAGACAGGACCGUCAUGCCCUGCUGCGUUCAGGGUAUAGGGAGGAUUGGGUAUGAGGCCCCCUGUCCUUUGUCCAAACAUUAGAACUUGUCUGAGAGUGCCUUCCCCAGACCCGGGGCCAGUGACACGUGCAGCAAAGCAGCUGCUCUCCCCGGCCAUAGAGGGAGCUGAGUGGCAGCUGUCUUGCUUACAGGAAUGGCCGAGGCAACGCUACUGGGGAUCCCACCCAUGAAGUCAGAGGUCUCAUAACAUCAGGCCACAGACAAGAUCCACAGAAAGACGCCGUGGGUUUGCCCAAGUCUAAACCCAUGGUGCUAGACUGUGCGAUCAAAGACUUCAAAAAGGGGUUUUCUGAAGAUUAAGGUGUAAACUAACCUGAUCUUUCAUCAUUUCCUUUGCUAUUACCUCAAAUAGAGCUGUGGGGGCAAGGGAACCAGACCUCUAGAUGUUAAGACCACCCUGAGUUGGUCCCAGGCCUUGGGGGGAGAAGGCGUUCCUAACAUAUUCAUCCAACUUAAGCCAAGUGUUUGGCCUCAGAGCCUGGGCAUGUCAAUUUUGCUUCUUGCUGUUUACUUUCACCCUGGUUGGAGAAAUCCACGGCUGGUUCAUCCAAUUUGCCUGUUAAUGUGGCUUAGAAACGUCCCUAAUAUUAAUAGAGGGCAUGUCAGAGCGAGCCUCUUAGGAUGCGAACACCCAGGGCAGGGCCUGUACGCCUGGGUUUUCUUCGCCUCUGUCCAGAGACAGGCAGCGGGCAGGGACGGCGGGAAGAGCGGCUGCGCUGGGAAAGAUGGUUCAUUCCAGGCAGCCUGAGGUCGGAUGGGACGUUUGACCACUAAUGCCCAGCUGCUCCCUCCAAGAGAGGGGACGCCCUCACAUAACCACGAAGGGACAAUAGGCACUGGGUGCUGAUCUUUUCUCUUUUUCGAAUGGGAGCCACCUCCUCAAGCCUGGUGCAUGGCUCAAUAGCAACUCCUCUGAUGUGUGCCUUGAUGAACUGCAAAAAUUUUGGCCCUGAGACUCUGAAAAAGAAACGUUUAAUUUUCUUUUGCACAAAAGCCUGGCCACUACAUAACCUGUCAGAUGGAGAGCGAUGGCCAUCUGAAGGCUCUCUAGCUGAUAAUACUCUUCUCCAGCGAGACCUGUUUGGUAGACGAGGCGGGGAAUGGUCAGAGGUGCCUCGUGUCAGAUCUUUACAGUGAGGGGAGACGCUACACCAAGGAAGGCUUGCGGACUUUCUCAGUGGGUUAUGCCAACCCCCUCAGGACCUAGGCGCCCACCACAUCCUGGCCCAGCUGGGUCAGACCCUCCAGAAGCGAAUCAGCCUUCUCCAACACCGCCCAAGGCGCCUCCUCUUCCCGCUCCAGUGCCAAAGUUAUAUCCCUCUGUACUCCCUUUACAGGAAGCAGCAAACAGAAUGGGGACCAAAUACAGGUCCAUAUGCCUACUUCACUUCAGGACUUAGGGCGAAUAAAAACAGAUAUGGGAAAAUUUGCUGAUGACCCAGAUAUAUCGAGGUCUUUCAGGGUCUCAUGCAGUCCUUUGAGUUAGCCUGGGAGGAUGUCAUGUUAUUA